CUUUCCUAUAAAGUGUAUAGCACCAUUUUGCUGUGUGUCACUACUUACACUAGUUCACGCAAUACUUAAUUUUAUCACGGUGUGAAAACAUAGCACCAAUACUAUUUUGGGUUAAUGUGGAUAAUAUAAGGUAUAGGUAUAGGUAUAGGUAUAUUUUAGCACGGUUUUAGUAUACUUUAGGCAAUAAUCAUUUGCACAAUUUAAUGUUUUCUAUUUUUAU